UGAAACUAGUCUUCGUUUGGUAAGCUACGCACGAACAACACGUCUUCUUGAGCUUCAAAUUGAAACGCACGCGUUCGCGUUUUAUUGUAUGUACAGCACAAUAACAACAACAAAAACAUAUUGAACUAUUUCUACUGCAUUACUAUUGCGUUUAAACGAGGUUUAAAAUAAAACUGCAACAACAACAACAAUAACAACUUAAACAAAACUCUCUUUAAAAACUUGGUUUAUUGAUUGGUUAAAGAAGAAGAAGUUUAAAAAAACAACAAAAUAAAAGUUGCAUUUUACGCGAGUCCGGUUUUGCCAGCAGUUGCUGUUUGUUGUCUUAACGUUGUUUGUUAGCAGAGGAUCGUUUAAAAAAGUA